AUUAGAUAUAGUAGGAUUUAUUCUAGGUUAACAGCUUGGAAUAUAAGUUAAGAGAGAUGAAGAGGAAUCCAUAAUCAGCAAUCAUCCCUCAAUAACUCAUCUGCUGUUGAGAUUAUAUCUUCUAGGUGCCACUGCUAUCUGUUCUGAGGUUCACUCUGUUCAGCAGCCUUGGACUCUUCAUGGAGUAACAGACUGGUAUAACUACAGCCUUGACCCUCACUUGAACCACCACAGCCUCUUCUGGACAGCCAGCAGUCCUUGAAGUCUCAGAGUCUUUUAACCAAAGGGUGUGGAUGUUUCCUUAUUGAUAUCAUCAAAGAUCUAGUGUAUCAAGAUGACAAACUUUGCUCCCUGUUGGGCCAAAAAGAGACAUAAAAUUUAAAACAACAACAACAAAACAAAACAAGGAAAACAACAACGAUAAAAAACAGCCCUCUUCUUUUAGUGACUGCAUACUGCACCAGGGAAGAGGUGGUCAUCAACUAUGAAGGAAUCCAGACCUUUAAUCCUGUAGAGCUUCCAAGUAAGGAUAACGGGUCAGCUACAACCUUCUCCCUAGGAUAUGUCGACGUGCACGGCAUUAGGAAAAUCUGCUCUUUAAAUUAAAAUACAAACUCAUGAGGAUUUUCUUUAUCAUUUACCAA
rnacentral:lncRNA from 1 species